UAACUUUAAAAAGAGCAAGAGUUCAUAUUUCUUCAAA
rnacentral:tRNA from 1 species